AGUGUUCGGAUCGCGGCGACGUGGGCGGUUCGCUGCCCGCGACGUCGCGAGAAGUCCACUGAGCCUUAUCAUUUAGAGGAGGGAGAAGUCGUAACAAGGUUUCCGUAGGUGAACCUGCGGAAGGAUCAUU
rnacentral:rRNA from 1 species